GGUGGCGAGUGGCGGACGGGUGAGGAAUACAUCGGAAUCUACCUUUUCGUGGGGGAUAACGUAGGGAAACUUACGCUAAUACCGCAUACGACCUUAGGGUGAAAGCGGAGGACCUUCGGGCUUCGCGCGGAUAGAUGAGCCGAUGUCGGAUUAGCUAGUUGGCGGGGUAAAGGCCCACCAAGGCGACGAUCCGUAGCUGGUCUGAGAGGAUGAUCAGCCACACUGGAACUGAGACACGGUCCAGACUCCUACGGGAGGCAGCAGUGGGGAAUAUUGGACAAUGGGCGCAAGCCUGAUCCAGCCAUGCCGCGUGGGUGAAGAAGGCCUUCGGGUUGUAAAGCCCUUUUGUUGGGAAAGAAAAGCAGUCGGUUAAUACCCGAUUGUUCUGACGGUACCCAAAGAAUAAGCACCGGCUAACUUCGUGCCAGCAGCCGCGGUAAUACGAAGGGUGCAAGCGUUACUCGGAAUUACUGGGCGUAAAGCGUGCGUAGGUGGUUGUUUAAGUCCGUUGUGAAAGCCCUGGGCUCAACCUGGGAAUUGCAGUGGAUACUGGGCAACUAGAGUGUGGUAGAGGAUGGCGGAAUUCCCGGUGUAGCAGUGAAAUGCGUAGAGAUCGGGAGGAACAUCUGUGGCGAAGGCGGCCAUCUGGACCAACACUGACACUGAGGCA
rnacentral:rRNA from 1 species